rnacentral:rRNA from 1 species
AGAGCGAGCGCUGGCGGCAGGCCUAACACAUGCAAGUCGAGCGCGUGUAGCAAUACACGAGCGGCAGACGGGAGAGUAACACGUGGGAACGCGCCCUUCGGUUCGGAAUAACUCAGGGAAACUUGAGCUAAUACCGGAUACGCCCUUACGGGGAAAGAUUUAUUGCCGAAGGAACGGCCCGCGUCCGAUUAGCUAGUUGGUGAGGUAACGGCUCACCAAGGCGACGAUCGGUAGCUGGUCUGAGAGGAUGACCAGCCUCACUGGGACUGAGACACGGCCCAGACUCCUACGGGAGGCAGCAGUGGGGAAUAUUGGACAAUGGGCGCAAGCCUGAUCCAGCCAUGCCGCGUGGAUGAUGAAGGCCUUAGGGUUGUAAAGCUCUUUCGCCCGCGACGAUGAUGACGGUAGCGGGAGAAGAAGCCCCGGCUAACUUCGUGCCAGCAGCCGC